UACGGAGGGUGCGAGCGUUAAUCGGAAUUACUGGGCGUAAAGGGUGCGUAGGUGGUUGAUAAGUUAUCUGUGAAGUCCUGGCUUAACCUAGGAGGUCAGAUAAGACUGUUGAGCUAGAGUAUAGGAGAGUAGUGGAUUCGUGUAGCGUGAAUGCGUAGAGAUCGAGACACAGUGCGAGCGCUACUGCUAAUACUGACACUGAGCACGAAAAAAGCGUGGGGG
rnacentral:rRNA from 1 species